rnacentral:rRNA from 1 species
GACGAACGCUGGCGGCGUGCUUAACACAUGCAAGUCGAACGGUGAAGCGCCUUCCUUUUUGGUGGGUGUGGAUGAGUGGCGAACGGGUGAGUAACACGUGAGUAACCUGCCCCCUUCUUCUGGAUAACCGCAUGAAAGUGUGGCUAAUACGGGAUAUUCUGGGUCUGUCGCAUGAUGGGUCUGGGAAAGAUAUUGUUUCGGUGGGGGAUGGGCUCGCGGCCUAUCAGCUUGUUGGUGGGGUGAUGGCCUACCAAGGCGGUGACGGGUAGCCGGCCUGAGAGGGUGGACGGUCACACUGGGACUGAGACACGGCCCAGACUCCUACGGGAGGCAGCAGUGGGGAAUAUGGCACAAUGGGCGCAAGCCUGAUGCAGCGACGCCGCGUGAGGGAUGGAGGCCUGCGGGUUGUGAACCUCUUUCGCCAGUGAAGCAGGCCUGCCUCGUUUGUGGGUGGGUUGACGGUAGCUGGAUAAGAAGCGCCGGCUAACUACGUG